rnacentral:tRNA from 2 species
CGGUGAUUAGCGCAGUCUGGUAGCGCAUCUGCUUUGGGAGCAGAGGGUCAGAGGUUCGAAUCCUCUAUCACCGACCA